rnacentral:lncRNA from 1 species
AGAAGAGGGGAGGAGUGCCCCAGAUGGAGGGAACAGUCUGGGCGAAAGCCUCAAGACAGCGCGCAGCAAGUUGGAGGAAUCCUCAGAAGGUGGGUGUGGCUGGAACACAGCCCAGAAGGUGGUGAGUGCUGAGAAACGGUCCUAGAGAGAAAGCCGGAGCCUGGGGACCAGGGCCCUCGUAGGCCAUGCCAAGGAAUCUGGAUACUUGCAGAGCUCAGUUAGAAAUAUUGAAAGAAUAAAUGAAUGGAUAAACGUCUUCCCCAAUGUGUUACACACUCCCGCAGGGCCGGGACUAUUUGAUUUAUGUAUCUAGCGCCCAACACAUUGCCUGGCAGAAAGCAGACCCUCAAUAAAGGUUUGUUGACCUAAACAAGAGUCUCUUCUGCAUGCGGGCCCUUGUCAGGCCUGUCAUGGGAGCUCAAAUAAAGGCAACCAGACCCUAUACUACCGGAUCAGGCAGA